rnacentral:lncRNA from 1 species
UUUCUCAAUUUUGCAUCUUGCCUCUUGAGUCUUCAUGCCGCCUUUGAGCCAAAUGGUCCUAACCUCAUCAGUUUCACACCCCCUCCUCCUCUAGUCAUUCUUUGUGAUUGUCUCCACAGUCCACCCUUCACUCUUAUUCAUUUGUCUUAGCUAUUGUCAAGGCCUCUUUCUCUAUCUUGAAAAUAGCAAAUCCACCACCGGUGUUCAUUGCUAGUGCACAUUUCCUUUGUCUUACCCAAAAAAUAUGAAACCCUUAAGUGCUCAUUGCCUUGCAAUGUUGAUUUCUUUGAUGGAACCUAUGGAGGUAAUAGAGCUUGCUUUUUUAAUAAUUUGCUCUUAUUUGAAAGUGGAUUUGUUGCUAAUUUUUGGGUUAUGCAUUUUGUGCAUGUGUUCAUGUAAGUAUUCUCUUAUUUUGAAAUGCGAGAACAAAGUAGAUUGAGGAGUAGCUAGGGAUUCACAGUCAUGGAAGCCAAGCAUGCAAGUCGUCUUUCAUGGAAUUCAAAGAUUGAAGACACUUUUUUUUCUUUUUAAAGAAAAUUUUAUGUACAAUUUGAAGCUUUGGUUGUAUUCUAUUAUUGUAGUUGUUAUCAUUUUUAUUGUUGUUGUUUUUUGUAAAAGAUGAUUCGAAUAUGGUUGCGCUAGAUUGGAAUGAGAUUAGUUUAUUUUCUUUGUUCUUUUGGAUUAUGCUAUUGGUCAAAACAAAAUUUUGUUCUACUGGAUUUUGGGAUGAGCAUUCUUGAUGAAUUGAGAACCAUAAUUACAAAACCAAACCAAACCAAACCAAACAUUUUGUUUUGAUUUGGUUUGCUUCCUUUAUUUACAUUUUUUUUCCAGUUCAAUUAGAAACUGAUUAGAUUGUUUGCACUUUGUGUACACCUAUGUAAUC